AGAGCGAACGCUGGCGGCGUGCCUAACACAUGCAAGUCGAACGUGAAAAGGGGCAACCCUGAGUAAAGUGGCGUACGGGUGAGUAACGCGUAGGUAAUCUACCCCAGAAUCUGGAAUAACCGGCCGAAAGGCUGGCUAAUACUGGAUAGAGCGAUGGAAUCCGUAAUUGGGUUUUUCGGGAAAGGGGGGCCGUAAGGUCUCUCGUUUUGGGAUGAGCCUGCGUCUCAUUAGCUAGUUGGUAGGGUAAUGGCCUACCAAGGCUUUGAUGGGUAGCUGGUCUGAGAGGAUGAUCAGCCACACUGGAACUGAAACACGGUCCAGACUCCUACGGGAGGCAGCAGUCGAGAAUUUUUUCACAAUGGACGAA
rnacentral:rRNA from 1 species